UUUGCCAUACUUUUUUAGUUUUUAUUUCUAUUACAAAUGAAAAAAUUCAUGCCAACUGAAUAAUAUUCUUGAAAAUGGAAAUGGCCUUUAUUAGGUUGUUGUUUAAUAUAUGUGUCGAACUUGCUCUAUGCUUUAGCAAGUUGACUCUGCAUCGAAUAUUGUGGUGCUUAUUCGAGUAAGCAAAUGGGCAUGUCGGGUAACGGGUCAAACGAGUAGAUUUUUUUUAUGGGUUGGGUUAAGUUGACCUGUAACAUUUUUGUUCAAAGUCUAUAAGAAAUUAGUAUUAAACAUGGGAAAGGUUUAUAAUAAUAAUAGACUUUGGGCGACUAUCGAAGUAUUUCCUUUUUAUCUGAUACUUUUAUCCAAAAUGUUUAGUGUCUGUUUGACUAUUUCCAUUCUCUAUCUCCCAAGGAAAACCAUGUGUCCAUAUAUGUUAAAAGUUUUGUUGAAGUGUGAGAACAUGCUAAUGCAAGACGGAAUGUAACAGAACUUGGAUAAACCAACUAUUUUUUUUCCUUUUUUGUAUUCACUGUCAUCAAUAUCGCCAAGUCUACUUAAAGCUAAUGAAAACUAAAACUCAUACUCAAGUUCUUACCGAAAUAUCAGCAUCUACUGUUACUUCUGUAACUAAUGAUUGAUUAAUUUUGCAAGCUCAACAGCCGGGAACUACUCAAGACCACUUACAAUAUAAGAGAAGUAUAUUUAUAAUUUUUACUGAAUUUAUUAGUUAGUUAGUUUAGUUGUUCUUUGUCAAAGCAGAUCUCUAAUCAUGAUAUAUUUUUUUUUAACGUUCUGUGAUACUUAUACUUCGUUAACUAUUGUAUUUUAGACUAAUUGUAUAAAUUUGGGAGUUAUAUGUUAUCGGUUUUUGACAAAUUGCUGGAAUGGAGACUAUUAUUGGUAUCUUUGAGGGUUCGAGUCUGGCCGCGCCAAAAAAGUAGCAGCAAGGAUUAUAAGGCAUAAGCUUUGGAAAAAAAAAUUGACGACAUUAAUGGAAGAGGGGCCUUCAAUGACAAGUUGAGUGGCUAAAAUUUUAAGAGAGGGGAAUUUGAAGUUGAAUACGAUAAUGACGUUAACAGUUACUAGCAGACACGGAAUCCAAGGAGACGGAUACUGAUUCUGACCAUAAACUUAAACUGCGUUUCUUGCGUAUAUACUUUAAAAGAGAGAGAACUUUCGGAAGAAAUUGGGAGGCUUCGAAAUCAGCGAUCUUAUCCACCACUUGCAUGAAACAAUUGGAUCAACCUUCAGAGAAAAGACAAAAUCAUUAUCCUGAGCGUUUAACAAUUGGAUUGGGGAAAGUAAACAUAUGUUGGAAUAUGUACAACUCCGUAAAUUAUGAAUGACAAACAUAACGAGAUAUAUAUUAACUGGUUAUUGAACUUCUUUUUUUCUCUCUGGCUGAGUGUUGUUGAGUUUAUGAAGACCCACUUUGGUUAUAAAGUCCGUGCGUCUAAUUACGCCAAGGUCAACUAAAAUCUACAAUAAUUUCAACCCAGACAUAUUUUGAGCCAUUACCUAACCCGGAGUCUGGACAACCUAUUCAUCUUUCCACCUGCAUGUUGUUAUAUAUAUACAAGGCUUGAUAUGGAAUAUAUAUGGUGCUUUGGCAGAGAGUAUCUUGAAGGCUUGCCAACAGGGAACUAAUGGCAUGGCUACGACUGAUGGAUUCAUAAUGAGUGGCAAGGCCGGGUUGGAUGAGUGUUAUAAAGUGCCACGUGCUUAUUUGGGGGUAGAUAUCACAACAAAAGUUGCAGGUUACAACUCUCAUUCUCUGACCGAUGACAUCUUACACUUCGAAAUGCUUGGCUGGUGAGAAUCGUCAUCGAAGGUUGGAUCUAGAGACAUGGAAUGAUCUUGCUAUGGUCUGUAUUAACUUAUCUAAGUGGCAAGACACUAAGACCCGUUUGUUGAAAUCGAAAGCUAUAACUAAUUUAUCGGCUUCUACGCGACAUACUUGGUGAUUGUGGAUUUAGAAGAGACUCUACCUAUUCUUCAUGUUCAACCAAAAGAUGGAACAAUUUAAGAGCUUUUGCUAGGGGGUUGGGUGAAGCAGAAUGGCGUUGCAACUUCAUAAUUUGGGUGGAGAUCAGCGAGGUCCGAACUAUAGAUGGCUGGUACUACUUUCCAUGUAAUAGUGGGAACUGAAAAAAUGCAUUUCGAGAAGAAAUGGCGACUUCUGGGGUCACUCGUGAGACAAGAGUGUCGAUUUUCCAAUGCCAAAGGUUUUGCCAACAAUAGUGAGCAUCAACUUACGAGAAAUAUGCCCAGUUCGGAAUCUUGACGAAUACAAGCUUAUGACACUUUCAUGCAAAUCACCGCACAGUUCCUCCUUUGGUGAUUGUGGUGCCUGGUGGACUUCAUUUCUCCAGACAUUUAAAAACAAUGACAUAGUGACAUUUUGUCUUGAUGAGUCUGGACUCUAAAAAGUGUCUAAGGCAAACCCAUCUUAAUCCAAAGCAAUCUGUGUCUGUCAGAAGUGGAUUUGCUUUCAGUUUAAUUUGGUUGAAUUCUUUUUCUAUUCA